rnacentral:rRNA from 1 species
UCGAGCGGGCGUAGCAAUACGUCAGCGGCAGACGGGUGAGUAACGCGUGGGAACGUACCUUUUGGUUCGGAACAACACAGGGAAACUUGUGCUAAUACCGGAUAAGCCCUUACGGGGAAAGAUUUAUCGCCGAAAGAUCGGCCCGCGUCUGAUUAGCUAGUUGGUAGGGUAACGGCCUACCAAGGCGACGAUCAGUAGCUGGUCUGAGAGGAUGAUCAGCCACAUUGGGACUGAGACACGGCCCAAACUCCUACGGGAGGCAGCAGUGGGGAAUAUUGGACAAUGGGGGCAACCCUGAUCCAGCCAUGCCGCGUGAGUGAUGAAGGCCCUAGGGUUGUAAAGCUCUUUUGUGCGGGAAGAUAAUGACGGUACCGCAAGAAUAAGCCCCGGCUAACUUCGUGCCAGCAGCCGCGGUAAUACGAAGGGGGCUAGCGUUGCUCGGAAUCACUGGGCGUAAAGGGUGCGUAGGCGGGUCUUUAAGUCAGGGGUGAAAUCCUGGAGCUCAACUCCAGAACUGCCUUUGAUACUGAAGAUCUUGAGUUCGGGAGAGGUGAGUGGAACUGCGAGUGUAGAGGUGAAAUUCGUAGAUAUUCGCAAGAACACCAGUGGCGAAGGCGGCUCACUG